UAAGAAGGAAGUAGCUUCCACAAUCCCAGCAGAUGAAGAUUCACUGGUAAAUCAAUCAGAAUUUUCGGCCUACGCUCCAAAGAAAAGGAUGUGUCGGAAUCACAAGAACGAAUUUUAAUGAGAUCCAGCAUACCUGUUUGGCCAGGUCAGAUUCUAGCAGGCUCAUGCUUGCUGCUCUGCUGCCAGUGUCUCAGAAGCCGCCGGGAAAACGCUCCUGUGUGUGAGGAAGGCUUGUUUUCUGGAGAGAGGCAAGAAGUCUUGGAGAGCACUGAAAGCGGAUUUUCCCUCUGGUUUUCAGUUUCCAUUUUCUACUCCCAACGACCUUCAGGUAGUGCGGUUAGGGUGUGCAGGAGUGCACACUGAGAGAAGCAGAGUCCCCAGGCUCCUUUCUUCAUCAAAAGAGAAUCUGAAUUAUAAGAUAGGAGGAUCUGAAUCUUUGCUCUCAGCUAUUGAUGAUAACCCUUAAAAUUGAAUGGCCUUAGGGGUGUAAAAAUUCUGUAUUUCUGGCAAGAAAGAUUGGGGAAAAUAGCACAUCUGAAAGGCAUUUGGAUUA